AGAGUUUGAUCCUGGCUCAGGACGAACGCUGGCGGCGUGCCUAAUACAUGCAAGUAGAACGCUGAAGAGAGGAGCUUGCUCUUCUUGGAUGAGUUGCGAACGGGUGAGUAACGCGUAGGUAACCUGCCUUGUAGCGGGGGAUAACUAUUGGAAACGAUAGCUAAUACCGCAUAACAAUGGAUGACACAUGUCAUUUAUUUGAAAGGGGCAAUUGUUCCACUACAAGAUGGACCUGCGUUGUAUUAGCUAGUAGGUGAGGUAAUGGCUCACCUAGGCGACGAUACAUAGCCGACCUGAGAGGGUGAUCGGCCACACUGGGACUGAGACACGGCCCAGACUCCUACGGGAGGCAGCAGUAGGGAAUCUUCGGCAAUGGGGGCAACCCUGACCGAGCAACGCCGCGUGAGUGAAGAAGGUUUUCGGAUCGUAAAGCUCUGUUGUAAGUCAAGAACGGGUGUGAGAGUGGAAAGUUCACACUGUGACGGUAGCUUACCAGAAAGGGACGGCUAACUACGUGCCAGCAGCCGCGGUAAUACGUAGGUCCCGAGCGUUGUCCGGAUUUAUUGGGCGUAAAGCGAGCGCAGGCGGUUUGAUAAGUCUGAAGUUAAAGGCUGUGGCUCAACCAUAGUUCGCUUUGGAAACUGUCAAACUUGAGUGCAGAAGGGGAGAGUGGAAUUCCAUGUGUAGCGGUGAAAUGCGUAGAUAUAUGGAGGAACACCGGUGGCGAAAGCGGCUCUCUGGUCUGUAACUGACGCUGAGGCUCGAAAGCGUGGGGAGCGAACAGGAUUAGAUACCCUGGUAGUCCACGCCGUAAACGAUGAGUGCUAGGUGUUGGAUCCUUUCCGGGAUUCAGUGCCGCAGCUAACGCAUUAAGCACUCCGCCUGGGGAGUACGACCGCAAGGUUGAAACUCAAAGGAAUUGACGGGGGCCCGCACAAGCGGUGGAGCAUGUGGUUUAAUUCGAAGCAACGCGAAGAACCUUACCAGGUCUUGACAUCCCGAUGCUAUUUCUAGAGAUAGAAAGUUACUUCGGUACAUCGGUGACAGGUGGUGCAUGGUUGUCGUCAGCUCGUGUCGUGAGAUGUUGGGUUAAGUCCCGCAACGAGCGCAACCCCUAUUGUUAGUUGCCAUCAUUCAGUUGGGCACUCUAGCGAGACUGCCGGUAAUAAACCGGAGGAAGGUGGGGAUGACGUCAAAUCAUCAUGCCCCUUAUGACCUGGGCUACACACGUGCUACAAUGGUUGGUACAACGAGUUGCGAGUCGGUGACGGCGAGCUAAUCUCUUAAAGCCAAUCUCAGUUCGGAUUGUAGGCUGCAACUCGCCUACAUGAAGUCGGAAUCGCUAGUAAUCGCGGAUCAGCACGCCGCGGUGAAUACGUUCCCGGGCCUUGUACACACCGCCCGUCACACCACGAGAGUUUGUAACACCCGAAGUCGGUGAGGUAACCUUUUGGAGCCAGCCGCCUAAGGUGGGACAGAUGAUUGGGGUGAAGUCGUAACAAGGUAGCCGUAUCGGAAGGUGCGGCUG
rnacentral:rRNA from 3 species